rnacentral:lncRNA from 1 species
AUCAUCUUGGCCUGACCGUUGACCCUGAGACCUGCUGCUAUGGAAGCACCUAGGUCCUAGAGGCCUUGAAAGAGGAUCCAGAUACAGAAGGAGCUUAAAGAAGAAAAGGAACAAUCGACAUCUUUGCUCUUAAAGUGGUGAGAACAGGGAAAGAAAAUAUACUCAGCUAGUUUCAGAGGAGGAAGGUUAAAACAUGAUCUCAGAGAGCCUCUUUGAUGGGUCAGAUGUUACACUGUGUUAGCACUGGCAAUGAAGCAAAAUGUAUUUG